AUGGGGAAAGGGGCAAUGACUUCUCAAUUUCAUCAUCCAGACAAAUUCAUGAAAAUGUGUUUGAAUGCACCAUUUAAAUCGAUAGGAAGCAUAAUGUUGUGUAUCGUCUGGCGUUCACAGGUGGAGAUUCCCAAAAGAGCCAGUAUCUCAUCUGUGGCCUUGAUGGAACCUUCUGGCAAAGUCCUGGCCUGUGGGAACAAUAAUCAACCCUGUAGUCUCUGGCCUCAAACCUUCCUGGAGAGACCGCUCGUAUGGGCUGUCAAGGGGUCAACGGGUUGGAGGAGGCAGGAGCCUAAGUAAUGAGGUAGCAGAGGUAUGUGCAAGAUAACCCCUUACACACAUUGUUACAGCACAAGGCUAGUUGAGACAGUAUUCUGGUGCAGUUGCUUGUUUGUUCUGUGUUUCUCUGUAGUUGUUGCCAUUUUAUUUUACAGUUUCGAGAGACAGUCAAUCACGAAGAGGCACCAAUCCAGUUGUUACAGAAGCAGGUAAGCAUUACUCACUAUAGACUAGUGGUACCCGGGUCAGUUGUUACAGAAGAAGGUAAGCAUUACUCACUAUAGGCUAGUGGUACCUGGGUCAGUUGUUUGUUCACCUGCCCCUGCUCACAAUUGCAAAUCAUUUUUUGUAUAUGAUUAAGUGAAAAUCUGAGGCCCCACACUUGACCCUAACCCACAAAUAUAAAAAAUGCGCCAUAGGCUACAGUCAGAAGGUAGAACGUUUUUUGACAGGGGGUGGAGGAUUGUUUUUUGCGUAAUUUAUGUUUCUUAUAAUUUCUGACAUUUUAGUAGGCUAUUUGUUAGUCAACUUGUUUAUAAUUAGAUGCGUGCAGCUUCUCUUCUGUCAUAAUAUGUUGCCCUAGAAGACUAAAUAAACACUUGCUCACUAGAAUAAUGUCAUAAAUGGUAGAAGGAAGGCUUCAAUCUAGUUGACAUUGGUAAAGUUGUCUCUGUCAUCUCUGCUUCUUUUGCAGAG
rnacentral:lncRNA from 1 species